GGGGGCGACACGGCUUCGACGGGUUUGGGAAUCUCGAAGCUGCGUGCCGAGGUCCGGAGACCUCGCAAAUCCUCUCCGGAAACCACAAAACCGCCAACUCCAACUUGGCUCUGGCUGCCUAGACACGGGCAGCCCGUUUCCCGGUCCGCCCGCCCGAGGCAGUCCGGGAGGCGUCGACAAUUCGGGCUGGUUUUCCGAUUCGCGCCACCGGAUCGGAGAAUGAGACACGCGGUGGCUAGCCCGGCGGGGGGGGUUCGCCGACCCCCGCCGGAGGCGAAGCCGAACGGCGAUCUACGCACGUAGAAGCUUGGAAGGACUCAUUCGCGGACGCGGGUUCGACUCCCGCCGCCUCCAUUC
rnacentral:tmRNA from 1 species